GUGUCAUGCUCAUUGUUGGCCGCUCAUACGACCCCUGCAAUUGCAUUGCAGCUUAUGCGGGGGUCGUAUAACGAUCAACAGAGACCCUUGACAU
rfam:Medicago truncatula strain A17 chromosome 3, whole genome shotgun sequence.